UACGUAGGGUGCGAGCGUUGUCCGGAAUUAUUGGGCGUAAAGGGCUCGUAGGCGGUCUGUCGCGUCGGGAGUGAAAACUCGGGGCUUAACUCCGAGCCUGCUUCCGAUACGGGCAGACUAGAGGUAUGCAGGGGAGAAUGGAAUUCCUGGUGUAGCGGUGAAAUGCGCAGAUAUCAGGAGGAACACCGAUGGCGAAGGCAGGUCUCUGGGCAUUAACUGACGCUGAGGAGCGAAAGCAUGGGGAGCGAACAGG
rnacentral:rRNA from 1 species